rnacentral:rRNA from 1 species
GAGCGGCGAACGGGUGAGUAACACGUGAGUAACCUGCCCCCGACUCUGGGAUAAGCCCGGGAAACUGGGUCUAAUACCGGAUAUGACACCUCCUCGCAUGGGGUGGGUGUGGAAAGUUUUUUCGGUUGGGGAUGGACUCGCGGCCUAUCAGCUUGUUGGUGGGGUAAUGGCCUACCAAGGCGACGACGGGUAGCCGGCCUGAGAGGGCGACCGGCCACACUGGGACUGAGACACNGCCCAGACUCCUACUNUNNGCAGCAGUGGGGAAUAUUGCGCAAUGGGCGAAAGCCUGACGCAGCGACGCCGCGUGGGGGAUGACGGCCUUCGGGUUGUAAACCUCUUUCAGCAGGGACGAAGUUGACGUGUACCUGCAGAAGAAGCGCCGGCUAACUACGUGCCAGCAGCCGCGGUAAUACGUAGGGCGCAAGCGUUGUCCGGAAUUAUUGGGCGUAAAGAGCUCGUAGGUGGCUUUGUCACGUCGGGUGUGAAAGCUUGGGGCUUAACUCCAGGUCUGCAUUCGAUACGGGCUGGCUAGAGGUAGGUAGGGGAGAACGGAAUUCCU